CGAAACCCAAAGAGUUUGGCGGUAUCUCAGUCUAGUUAGAGGAGCUUGUUCAGUAAUCGAUAAUCCGCGAAAAAUCUUACACAUUUUUGUAAUCAGUUUAUAUACCGUCGUUAUUAGAUAAUAUUAAAAAGUAAAUAAUUAUCUAAAAAUAAUUAAAUAUAAUAUAUCAGAUCAAGGUGUAGCUUAUAAGUGUGAGUUGAAUGAGCUACAAUUUAGUUUAU
rnacentral:rRNA from 1 species